rnacentral:rRNA from 1 species
GAGCACGCCGCGUGAGUGAUGAAGGCUUUCGGGUCGUAAAACUCUGUUGUUAGGGAAGAACAAGUACAAGAGUAACUGCUUGUACCUUGACGGUACCUAACCAGAAAGCCACGGCUAACUACGUGCCAGCAGCCGCGGUAAUACGUAGGUGGCAAGCGUUAUCCGGAAUUAUUGGGCGUAAAGCGCGCGCAGGCGGUUUCUUAAGUCUGAUGUGAAAGCCCACGGCUCAACCGUGGAGGGUCAUUGGAAACUGGGGAACUUGAGUGCAGAAGAGAAAAGCGGAAUUCCACGUGUAGCGGUGAAAUGCGUAGAGAUGUGGAGGAACACCAGUGGCGAAGGCGGCUUUUUGGUCUGUAACUGACGCUGAGGCGCGAAAGCGUGGGGAGCAAACAGGAUUAGAUACCCUGGUAGUCCACGCCGUAAACGAUGAGUGCUAAGUGUUAGAGGGUUUCCGCCCUUUAGUGCUGCAGCUAACGCAUUAAGCACUCCGCCUGGGGAGUACGGUCGCG